rnacentral:tmRNA from 1 species
GGGGGUGCCAGGUUUUGACAGAGAGAAUCGGAGUUUAUUUUCGGCGUUUAGGGUGAGUUCGAGCAUCCGUAAUCAAUUCGUUCAAAAUUUAAUUGCAAAAUUAAAAAAUCUUGCUUACAACGCUAAACGAACUGUAGCUGGGCUUUUUGCUCAACCUACAUCAUUCGCUUACGCAACUGCUUAAGCAUAAUAGGACAAACCGCGGUUGAGCUUCGGCUCCCACGUGAUUUUCACACUUGCCUCGCAGUAUGAGAAUCCAAUUAGAGGCUUAAGUUAGGAAAGCUUGCCGUUUCCAAACUGACAUUUAGGCACAAUUUUUCGAGUUUUUGUUUUGUUUCUUACUCGAAAUCUUAAACAAACAAAACUAUAAGCGUAGAUGAAACUAAGUUCCCUCUUUGGACGCGAGUUCAACUCUCGCCACCUCCACCA